UGGAGUGAGAGAGUGGUUGUGGCGGAAUUCAGCUGCCCAGCUGGGUGAAACCACCCCACCUGCUAGCAGCACCCCAUCCAGAGCUGAACGCCCAAGGGGAGUGAAGAUGGCAUGGCUGUGGCCGGAGCUGUUCCUCAUUGCUCUCCUUUCUGCUUCCCUUGUGCUGGUGCUGAUGAUUCCCCAAAGCUGGGCUGGUACUAAAAGUUCACAAGCUGAGUGGGACAGACAGGCACGCUGCAGUGAAUUUUCCUGAAGGCAAACAGAGGUUUAUGGCCACUCUUGUGAGGGGAGCGGGCUCGGAGGUGGUGGCUGACUCCAGCAAGGGCUCUUUCUGAGGCGGCAGGAACUGCAAGAUGUUUCAGUUGCAGUCAGACUCGCAUGUGGGCAGACUUUAUGAAGUAAGUUUCCCUGACUCAGUGGAGUGAGAAUCUUCUCAUCAGAAAGAUUUUUCUUCAAGUUUAUCAGUCUACUUUUUAAAGUCAAGUUCGUUUGCA